UAAGUGAGGUUGUAAAGUCCACUUCUUUUCCUAAACUCGCAACUAUUCUAAGAAUGAGAAAAGAGAAGUCUGGUCACGAAAUGCAGAGGCUUAAAACAUUUUAGUGCCUUCCUUUUUUUUUUUAAGUCGGUUAUGCCUACCUGUUUCAAUCUCCUCAACUUUGCUGUCUUUUAUCUAAAGAAUUAUUUCUUCUGCAUUUGCAGUUGGUGAUUGGGCUAAUAGUUAGAUCUGUCCGGG
rnacentral:misc_RNA from 1 species